rnacentral:lncRNA from 1 species
GGAAGGGGAAAAGGUGGAGAAAAGUGGGAGGGCUGCUGCCCCCCAGCUCAGGCACCGCGUGAUAAGGCAGCAGCCUGGGAAUCGUGCGGCAGGAAUGGAUUGGAGAAAUAGCUUGCACACCACACUGACCCUCAUUGGAAGGAGGGUUCCAGAAGAAAGAAGGUGAUCUCAGCACCCAAAAUCCUGCUGCUUGGCAAAUUGAUAAGGCUGAAGAUGACUCCUACCAGAGCCUUUACUAAGCCAGGGUAUAAUAAAGAGAAAAAGAGAGAGCCUGAGAGGGUGGAGGUGGGAUCCAGGUCUUCUACCUCCUAGGAUUCUAUGUGGCUAUUUGUGGCAUCAGGAAACUCUGAGAGCACCACUUUUUAAUUCAUUUUUUUAAUUGACAAAAAAGUAUAUAUUGAUGGUGUACAACACGUUUUGAUAUAUGUAUUCAUUGUGGAAUAGCUAAAUAAAACUAUU